rnacentral:lncRNA from 1 species
UAAAAACCCUGUAGCCAGAGAUACAGAGAUGGCCCUAUUGUGAGCAGAGCCACCAUCAAGAAAGAUCUCCAUUUCUUCAGGGAGAACCUUGAUGUCCCAGCCAUGGUACACACUUUUCUGUGGACUUUCCUGUGCUUCAAAUACAUCUAUAAUGAGGGACACCAGAUGUGAGGAUGGAACAGACCUCUAAAGGACAAAAUGUUACAUCUGGGAGCAGGGCCACUGAAACCUGUUUCCAUAAAAAAAAAAAAAAAAAAAAAAAAAAAAAAAGCUUAUGUUUGGAUUAGACCAAAUGUGGAUCAAUUAAACUACAAAUUAAAGAGCUUUUGAAUAUCCAUGAAUUACAUUCUUGAUACAGAGUCUUCUUAUCAUGACCACAGGAUGCCUUUUCUGACCCAAAGUGGGGACAACCAUGCAUGAGAUCACUCCAGAAUUAUCUUGGGAACGGAGUUCCUGCCAUCUCCUAAAGCUCCCCAGCCUGCUUCUCACCCAGUCAGUCUGAGGAUUUGAAUGACAUUGAAGCCUUCAGCACUCCCUACCUGCAAUGGCUUGUCUGCAAACAUUUGCCAACUGGCUGAAUUUUUCCUUAGAAAUCAUGCAGACUAAGGACACUCCAAUUUGAUUCAUCUCCGUGUUCCUGGAUUUCAUGGAAACUCCACUGAAACAACCUUCCUUUGCAUACUGUCUUUCCUAAGACAUUGCUGCCUCACUCCAAAGCCCCAAGGAAAGGCUUCUAUUCAGCCUGCUGACCAGGACAAGUCAAUGCCUCAGCUCUUCUCUUGUCUCUUCUCUGCCUCCAGUGCUGUGUGGACUCCUCAAUUGAUAAUUCAGUGAGAUGGCAGAUUUCCUCAGAAGCAGAAGAAACCAAGAGUUGUACCACCAUAUCAAAGAUCUUCAACCAACAGCAGGGCCAAAGGCCAAGCUUGGAUUGAAAUGGCAAAACUGACUGCCUAAGUCUUUAUAUCAUAAAGGGCAGUGGUUGGCUUCGAGGUAAAAGACAAGAAAUGGUGGCUUCAUAUAUGUGCAUAAAUAUAUGUGAAUUGAAGACUCUAUCCCAAUUUAUUUACCUUUCCAAUUAAUAUCUAUUAAAUGUUUCAUAUAUGCCAG